AUCACAUAGCUAAUAGUGGGUCCCUAGAACAAGGGAGCAGCUGUUCAGUGAGGUAAACCUGAGGUUGGUGUCCCAGAAGGGGAGUAGAGCUGGCUAGGACUGGGAAGCUGCAAGAAGCAGGAUUACCUGGGACCACUGCGACGGGAGGCUGUGGAAUCUUAGGACAAAUAGUGAGCUGAAGAACUGAAUUUUGUUUGUUAUGUGCUCAUGUAUGGGGACAAGUAAACCUACUUAAAGGAGACCAACUAUAGCAGUGAAUACUUGUUAAGCUGGGGAAAAGGCCUUCUGCAUUACAACUUCCACUGAAACCCAAGGGAUUUGCACCAUUGCAAGUGAGGGUAUCCUAGUGACCAGGCUGGAGGGCCAAGUCAUACAGAGGAAGCAGGAGCCAAAAGGGCUGCAGGGUGAGAGAAGAUGAUAGAUGAAGAGAAUGCCAGAGGAGGGUGCAGCCCCUUGAAGGAGCUAAGGCCUAGAGUGGCGAGGAAGAGGCACCCAUAGUGAAGAACAGUUACCACCAUCUUUAACCGCACUUAGGAGACUGUCAAACAAGGGAGCUUUCUCUUCUACAACUCUCUCCAGCUAACGGAACAAAAAAUGCUGUUAAAAUGAAAGCUGUACUUAAUACUUCAGAUACUUUAACUGUUUUCCUCUUUCUGUAUCUUUUAAUAAAAGUUAAAAAGACUUUUAA